AGACNCUGGAAGUCAGGGAGACCUGAAGCCGGUGACCGUCAAAGGAGCCGUCUAGGGUAAAACUGGUAACUGGGGCU
rnacentral:rRNA from 1 species